UAUGACCUCUAAGUCUAGAACCCCUCUGAUUCAGGAUUCUCUGAGUCAGGAUUCUAGGCUUAGAGGUCAUA
ensembl:miRNA